CAUCUUCUUCAUUAGGCCGAAAUUUCAAGGGUUCUCCAUAGCUAGGGUUUGUUUCAAGCUUCUAAGCUCCAUAAUCAAGAGAAACGAGAAUCAAGUCGCGAUCGAGGAAAAGAAAAGAUUGUGGACUAAAUUGCAAAAUCUUUAUAUUUUGGUACCAAGUUUUGAACAAGCCGGCUCAGGAAUCGGGACAGGUCGAAAGUUCGAUCACACUAUCCAAAGGACUUUUAUCUUGGUAAAUGGCUUGUACAACUACUUAAGUAUGGCAUGUAUAGCAAUAUACUUAUUUUGUGUAAAUAAUUUUAUGAUAUGGCCAUGUUUGGUUGAGAAAA